rnacentral:tRNA from 2 species
GUGGGUGUAGCUCAACGGGCAGAGCACUGGUCUGUGGAACCAGGCGUUGCGGGUUCGAAUCCCGUCACCCACC